rnacentral:rRNA from 1 species
AUUGAACGCUGGCGGCAUGCCUUACACAUGCAAGUUGAGCGGCAGCACGGGGCAACCUGGUGGCGAGUGGCGAACGGGUGAGUAAUGCAUCGGAACGUACCUUUCAGUGGGGGAUAACGUAGCGAAAGUUACGCUAAUACCGCAUAUUCCGUGAGCAGGAAAGCAGGGGGUCGCAAGACCUUGCGCUGAUUGAGCGGCCGAUGCCAGAUUAGCUAGUUGGUGAGGGAAAGGCUCACCAAGGCGACGAUCUGUAGCGGGUCUGAGAGGAUGAUCCGCCACACUGGAACUGAGACACGGUCCAGACUCCUACGGGAGGCAGCAGUGGGGAAUUUUGGACAAUGGGGGCAACCCUGAUCCAGCCAUGCCGCGUGAGUGAAGAAGGCCUUCGGGUUGUAAAGCUCUUUCGGCCGGGAAGAAAUCGCACGGGCUAAUACCCUGUGUGGAUGACGGUACCGGAAUAAGAAGCACCGGCUAACUACGUGCCAGCAGCCGCAGUAAAAC